AACGCAUAUGGCACCCGAGACUUCGGUCGAGGGUAUGUCUGUCUCAGAGUCGGCGUAAAAACAUCCCCAAAGGACAUAGCUCCGGCGGGGGAGCUGGCCUUCCCGGACCCCUCUCGCGGGCUCGGGUCGGCUGAAGGGCAGAGACGGGGGACCGCACGCGCGGACAGCCACGAUUUUGGUGGGAGGACCCAGCGUCCGCAUCAUCGAUCGAGGGCCGUCCUGUCAAAAGCGUCGGGAAAAAGCCCCCGCCCUUGCAGGAAAACAUUACUCAUAGUUCCGACCUGAGAUCAGGCAAGAUCACCCGCUGAACUUAA
rnacentral:misc_RNA from 1 species